rnacentral:tRNA from 1 species
GCGCUCGUAGCUCAGUUGGAUAGAGCGGUCGCCUCCUAAGUGACAGGUCGGGGAUUCGAGUUCCUUCGGGCGCG